UGAAUACAAAAAAAUAAAACAAAACGCAAUAUCUCUCUCGACCCAAAUCAACUCGCGAUGAACAAACCCUCAGCGCCGUCCUCUACCGCCGACAACGAUUGAANNNNNNNNNACCGCCUUAUCUCAGUUGUCCUCUCUCUCUCUCACUCGUCAAAUCGAAGCUUCUCACUUGAACCCUAACUCCAAAUCGAAUCUAUAAGGGAAACGAAUUGAAACUUCUCUCCGCUCUCACUAUUGUCCUCCUUUCUCCGGCCUCUACUCUCACGAAUCGAAGCUUGUCUUUCUCUUUCACUAUUGUCAAACCUUCAUCGAUUCAGG
rnacentral:lncRNA from 1 species